GAUGAACGCUAGCUACAGGCUUAACACAUGCAAGUCGAGGGGCAGCAUGGUCUUAGCUUGCUAAGGCCGAUGGCGACCGGCGCACGGGUGAGUAACACGUAUCCAACCUGCCGUCUACUCUUGGACAGCCUUCUGAAAGGAAGAUUAAUACAAGAUGGCAUCAUGAGUCCGCAUGUUCACAUGAUUAAAGGUAUUCCGGUAGACGAUGGGGAUGCGUUCCAUUAGAUAGUAGGCGGGGUAACGGCCCACCUAGUCUUCGAUGGAUAGGGGUUCUGAGAGGAAGGUCCCCCACAUUGGAACUGAGACACGGUCCAAACUCCUACGGGAGGCAGCAGUGAGGAAUAUUGGUCAAUGGGCGAGAGCCUGAACCAGCCAAGUAGCGUGAAGGAUGACUGCCCUAUGGGUUGUAAACUUCUUUUAUAAAGGAAUAAAGUCGGGUAUGCAUACCCGUUUGCAUGUACUUUAUGAAUAAGGAUCGGCUAACUCCGUGCCAGCAGCCGCGGUAAUACGGAGGAUCCGAGCGUUAUCCGGAUUUAUUGGGUUUAAAGGGAGCGUAGAUGGAUGUUUAAGUCAGUUGUGAAAGUUUGCGGCUCAACCGUAAAAUUGCAGUUGAUACUGGAUAUCUUGAGUGCAGUUGAGGCAGGCGGAAUUCGUGGUGUAGCGGUGAAAUGCUUAGAUAUCACGAAGAACUCCGAUUGCGAAGGCAGCCUGCUAAGCUGCAACUGACAUUGAGGCUCGAAAGUGUGGGUAUCAAACAGGAUUAGAUACCCUGGUAGUCCACACGGUAAACGAUGAAUACUCGCUGUUUGCGAUAUACUGCAAGCGGCCAAGCGAAAGCGUUAAGUAUUCCACCUGGGGAGUACGCCGGCAACGGUGAAACUCAAAGGAAUUGACGGGGGCCCGCACAAGCGGAGGAACAUGUGGUUUAAUUCGAUGAUACGCGAGGAACCUUACCCGGGCUUAAAUUGCAGAUGAAUUACGGUGAAAGCCGUAAGCCGCAAGGCAUCUGUGAAGGUGCUGCAUGGUUGUCGUCAGCUCGUGCCGUGAGGUGUCGGCUUAAGUGCCAUAACGAGCGCAACCCUUGUUGUCAGUUACUAACAGGUUCCGCUGAGGACUCUGACAAGACUGCCAUCGUAAGAUGUGAGGAAGGUGGGGAUGACGUCAAAUCAGCACGGCCCUUACGUCCGGGGCUACACACGUGUUACAAUGGGGGGUACAGAGGGCCGCUACCACGCGAGUGGAUGCCAAUCCCCAAAACCUCUCUCAGUUCGGACUGGAGUCUGCAACCCGACUCCACGAAGCUGGAUUCGCUAGUAAUCGCGCAUCAGCCACGGCGCGGUGAAUACGUUCCCGGGCCUUGUACACACCGCCCGUCAAGCCAUGGGAGCCGGGGGUACCUGAAGUGCGUAACCGCGAGGAGCGCCCUAGGGUAAAACUGGUGACUGGGGC
rnacentral:rRNA from 1 species